GAGCCGUUAGCUCAGUUUGGUAGAGCACUAGACUUUUAAUCUAGGUGUCGCGGGUUCGAAUCCCGUACGGCUCG
rnacentral:tRNA from 2 species